AGGCAGAGCAUGGGAUGGGGCUAUCAACAGAUGUAGAUUAUUCCUUGCACAAGAGAUGAUGAUGAGCUGUGAAUGAGUUCUGAGAGAUGGCUGGUGUUGUUGUUGCUCCCUCCCCUGCACUGCCUCUUCCCUGGCUCCCCUGCACACCUCUCUCUCUCUCUCUCUCUCUCUCUCUCUCUCUCUCUCUCUCUCUCUGUGUUAGUAUAUUGUUUUUAUGUUUUAGUAAUUAUUUUCCUUCCAUAAGUGAUACGGUAUUUGUAGCAUGUAGGUAGAAAAAAAAAUGAAACUAGAGUGAUGUGACACUUCAAGGGCUGUUGCAAAUUAACACAUUUUAAAAUGGACCAAGCGUACUAUUUCUCAGCAUGUGGUUCUAGCUCAAAACAUGCAUUUCAUUCGGCAUGCCAUGCUAGUUUUAAGCUCAGUAUAGCAUUUCAAUAAUUUAUUUGACAUACUAAAUCUAGCUCAAAACUGCAUUUCAUACGGUAUGUCAUCCACGUUUCUAGCUAAAAAUAGCAUUUCAUUUGGCAUUGCUAUGCUAGUUUCUAGCUCAAAAUAGCAUUCUAAUUUAC
rnacentral:precursor_RNA from 1 species